rnacentral:sRNA from 12 species
ACAGUGGUUGCUGAAUUAGAGUUUGACAGCGUAAAAUAAUCCACACGCCCGACACGAUCGAAGAGG